rnacentral:rRNA from 1 species
GACGAACGCUGGCGGCGUGCCUAACACAUGCAAGUCGAGCGAUGAACCCUUCGGGGGGAUUAGCGGCGGACGGGUGAGUAACACGUGGGUAACCUGCCUCAAAGAGGGGGAUAGCCUCCCGAAAGGGAGAUUAAUACCGCAUAACAUCAAAUUAUCGCAUGGUAGUUUGAUCAAAGCAGUAAUGCACUUUGAGAUGGACCCGCGGCGCAUUAGCUAGUUGGUGAGGUAACGGCUCACCAAGGCGACGAUGCGUAGCCGACCUGAGAGGGUGAUCGGCCACAUUGGAACUGAGACACGGUCCAGACUCCUACGGGAGGCAGCAGUGGGGAAUAUUGCACAAUGGGCGAAAGCCUGGUGCAGCAACGCCGCGUGAGUGAGGAAGGCCUUCGGGUUGUAAAGCUCUGUCUUCUGGGACGGUAAUGACGGUACCAGAGGAGGAAGCCACGGCUAACUACGUGCCAGCCGCCGCCGUAAGAC